rnacentral:lncRNA from 1 species
GUUAUCUUCUUUAUCUGUAUUUCUUUUCAUACAAUGGUUCACGGCUUGAACUAGGAAGAGCUGCAAAGUCAUUGGACAAAGUCAGGUGAGCGCCGAUUUUUCAAAUUCACUCUCAGCACUGUAAUUGGCUAAUAGCCUUGUCGCUGAGAAAUGGUGAGUUCUGAUUGGUUGAUUCGAUCAGAAGGCGGGUCAUCAACAGUUGCUCUGAUUCCGACCGACAGGCAGCAGCAGCUCAACAUACUCGUAAUGUUUGUGGAAAAUAGUAUCCGCAGCUAUAUCGAAGGUAAGAUCAAUUUUCUCUGUAUGAGUUUCUUAGUUAGCGCUUUCUUGUCUUGAUUAUGUGUGAUUUUGUAAUUAGCCAAAGUAGCUCACACUGUUACCAACAACUACGCUUGCUAGAAAAGUAUCGUUUUUCCGACUAAAUGUGCUCAAAUAUGGACAUGCUAUAUGGCGUUGGAAAGCGUAGAACCUCCUGACUUUCAUGGUGAUAUUUAUUUCACAUUCCGGAACAAUUAUUUUCGCUGCGCGAUCGCGUCGAGGCAAACGUCAGCUGUUAGCAACGUUGUUAGCUUUGUGAGCACCAGAAUCGCACAUUUAAUUUGUUUGUGGGGAUAUGGGUGAAAUAAUGUUAAGAGUUAGUUUUUGGAUUAGAAAGAGCCUUAACAUUUUAAGCACUAACAAUAAUAAUAUCCAAAACUUUUAGUUAUUUUGAUAAUAGUGGUGUUUCAGCUUUGUACUUCCCCUCAUUAAACAUACCUGUACUUUGCUUGAUUGUUUGCAUGGAAACAAGAAGAUGAGGGAAUAAAGAGACCACAUGCAUCAUCUGUAUACACCCAGCACCCAGGAAUGUCUGAUUUCUCUGUUCUGCACCAGCCUUAUGCAUGCCCCUCUGAACUCAAAAAGAUCCUGGCUUCUGCAUCCAGCCCCAUUUGGUCCACAACUCUACCCCAGGCCUGCUCUCUCCCUCAGCCAAGUGGAGUCCCUACAAAACGUGGUGCACAACUGGAGACAGGACAAAGAUUUCACCUGAUACCACGUGACGACGAGCUCAAGCACACGCAUUUUAAAACAGAAGAAAGGAAAAAUGGACAUCAAGCAGACGUGACCGCAGAUCAUCUUUACAGUUUACAAUAUGAAGAUUUACCAAGAUGAACACAAAACAUCCACAACAGAAGGUGAACAAAUCAACUUUCCUGGACGAAUGGACAGUUACUUUUGGGCAAUGCUGGAAAAGUCCUGAAGGAAAAAACUUUGGAAGAGAAGAGUGAGUACUUCUCUGCAAGGCUAACAUCACCUGUUAGACUGCUACCCUGCCUGUGGGUAGGAUCGACAGCAGGGGUCUCAACCUGAAUUCCUUGGUGAGCGACUUUUAUUUAACAAAAAUGAUAGAGCUAAUCUACAUAUCGAUGCCCUAUGUGACUUUGGUGGGGUAUUGAGGAUAUUUAAAAAACAAUUAAAGAAAAUAACUUGAGUUUACUCAAUGCUUAUGCUUCACUGUAUUUAGUUAAUUGUUAGCAGAAAGUAUCUACACGCACACACACAUUGUCAGAGAUGGUACUUUAUUUUAAGUCUAAUUAUUCUACUCUGUUGUAACCUCAUUAACUUAACACUUAAGUGUCAGACAGAGCUGAUGUGAAAGUUCAACCCCAAAUUAAGGUCUUGUUGCACAGUUCAAUACGAAAUGCACCAUUUGAUUGUUUUACUGCAUUGACGACUGUCUGUAGCCCUCUUGUUCACACUUCAAUGUGGCUUCAGUGAAAAAGUUGUAUUUAUUUCUGCAAUAUUUGUUGUCUUGCAUGUAUUAAAUAAAUGCAUCAUUUGCAAAUAAAGUAAGAUUUAAUAUUUUUUUCUCUAUCAUAGC